GGCUGUGAGGGCAAUUUGACUGCAACACUUGUCACUCUAUUGAUCUUCAGGGAUGAUUUGGUUGAUCUAGCUAGCUAGCAUGCCCCCUUUCUCUCUCAUCACUCCCUGUGUGUCCGUCCUUGAAUAGCAUGACCUUCCCUGACAGAGGAAGAUCAUUCUUUGGUCAAGGGUACACAAAUAGCUGUGAUACCCUGCGAGACCCUCCAUAAAACCUCUCAAAAACACCCUCCAAGUAGAUACAUAAGAUUAACUAUCAUGUAAAUCAUAGUUUUCCUUCUUCCAUUGUGGAACAAUAGGCUUCCCAGUGGAG
rnacentral:snRNA from 1 species